AUAGCGGAACGGCCUGUCGCCCGACGACCUCGAAUGCGCCGGGAGGAAAGUCCGGGCAACACAGAGCGCCAUACUUCCUAACGGGGAGUUGCCGGCAACGGUAAAUUAGCGUGACAGAGAAUGACUGCCGCCGUCACUCGUGGCGGUUGGCGAUGGUGAAAAGGCGGGGUAAGAGCCCACCGGAUGUGAUGGCAACAUUACAUGCCGCACGCAUUAUGGGUUGCAAGGUCAAGUAUACCGACAUCUAGGGGCUGCUCGUCCAUUGUCGGGGGGUAGACUGCUCGCAGGCGCGGCUGAUGGCUCGUGAGCCUUUGGUUGUGCCGAUGCGCAAUCGGGUGGCAACAACCGAUGAAGAUAAAUGACAGGCAACAUAAAGUUAUCGGGAGCGAUUCGGUUCGCUGAAUGCUGUCCGCAAUGCUUUAUGUCACAUAACCCGGCUUACAGUUCCGCUUCCCUC
rnacentral:RNase_P_RNA from 1 species